GUUGAGAUGAUGGCCCGGAGGUUUGAGACCCUCUGCAUAUUUAACUGUGUGUGUGUGUGUGUGUGUGUGUGUGUGUGUGUGUGUGUGUGUGUGUGUGUGUGUCAGCCUGAAUUCAUGGGCAUGUCAGUCAGCCUGCAGGAGGAGAGAGGGAGGAGGGAGGAGGCCUGAGGAGAACAUGAAAUACUGUCACAAUGAAGGACAUGAAAACGAAGGAUUCAAACAAUAAAACGACAACACGACGACGACACUGUCUGUGCACAAACAUUUCUGAUCAUUUCUUCAUGGAAAUACAAUCAGACCGAGACGCUAAGACAGAAGAACUACCGCGUCUGUAAAAUGAUCAAUAUGGUGAUUAUUACUUCAAGGAAAUGAUAAAGAAAUGAUCAUAAAUGUUCUUCCUUGAGCUGCGGCACCCCGCUGUAGUCUGUAAUGGACUGGCCUGAGGUCUCUCUACAAACAAGCGUCUGCUGGAAGAGAGUAGGUGAGUUUUCUCUCUGUAAAUAUUUGAGACUGAACCUCUACGGUCUGUGUCGGAUGGAGAUAAUGACCUCUCAGUAUAGAGCUGUAACUAUAUAGAUGUCCCGGUCUGUCAGUGUCAGUCUGGACCGUCGCUCUCUGGUGUCUCCUGUCCUGAUCAGCUGUAAUUAAAGGACCUGUUUCUGGACCUCUUUGUGGCACAGAUCCGGUCCGCUCUGAAGGUUGUGACUGUCUCCCUCUAUCGCCAUGGUAACCGUCCACCCAUGCUGAACUUAUUACUCCGCCGUCUCCUUCCCACAGACCUUGAUGAGGUUCUGGACAGGCCUGCUGACAUUUCUGUUGUGUCGGUAGACGCAGCGACGCCCAAAUGUCAGCCCUCGCUGAAAAAGUGACAAACUUUGGUGGUUAAUGUCGGCGCGUGAGACGGGUGAGAGAGUUUCCCUGCAGGUGUGAUGUCUGUCAUCAGGUGAGUUUACAUCAGCUGACAGGAGGAUGAGAGCGCAGACAGACAGAUGGAUCAGGCGUCUUCUUCUACACGUGCUCGUCACCUCUAAAUAUUUCAAAGUCAUGAAUAAAACAUGACGGGGUUCGACGCCAACAGGUGGAGGGGAGAUUGCACCGCUCUGCAUCACUCCGCUCUCUUUGUCUGCAUCUCUAUUUCCUACAUUCGAUUAUCUGCUUUUGUCCAAAGUGGUUAGUUUUUUUUCUCCUCAUGCAUCAGGAGCAAUUUCAGGGCUAAAUGUUCCUCUCAAGGACACAUUAGAGAAGCUCUUUAUGUUUUUCUCUGUUUAUUUAAAGGCCGUUUUUACGAGGCAGCAGAGAGAAAAGCUGUUAAUGUUUCUGGUUAACAUGAAAUUGAUCUUUAUUACUGAGGUUGUUGCUUUAUUUUCUUUCAGCCUCGGUUUAAUCUCGCAGAGGAAACAUGAUUUAAAGCUCCUGUGAGGAGAACGUCGUUAUUUUUUACUGUUUAUAAAACAGGCAGAUAUUGACAUUAAUGCGUCUUCAUGACCAAGAGGAGUAACCGAGACCACUGCAGUGAGAUUCAUGGAUUCUUCAUGGUCACCAUGUCCAGAUCUAACUUCAGGUUGACCUUUAGGAGGAGGGUCUUCAUGCAUGUCAGCCACGUCAGCCGGACCUCCAACUCUCCAAUCCUGAAACUUUAAAACAAACUCAUAAACAGGCUGUAAACAUGUAAAUCUAAAGUCAGCCUCUAGUGGACACUCGAGGAACUGCAGUUUUUAGCACUUCAGCAUCAGCAGAAGUCGCUGCUUGGUCAGUAAAAGACGAACCUUUAAUUAUUUUCUUCUAAAUCUGUAAAAAUAUCAUGUUGGUGUUGGUUAUGAUCCUGGUCGAUGUUUGUCUUUGAACAGAAAAGUGAUGAUGAAGACGAGGAGGAAGAAGAGGCCGGCUCAUGUUCUCUCAUGUUCCUGUCUCUCACUUCCAUCCUGAUGCUCCUGGACACUCUGAGAUCUACUCGGAUCAUUUCGAGCUUUCCUCCUCUCUGAACCUUUGAGUCGACGACCUCCAAGAGAAGCUGAAGGUCAGACGUACUUUUUCACUUUUUCUCUUUUGACUCUUUCUGGAGAAAUCGAAUAUGCGGUCGCUGCUCCUGCAGGUUUCUCUUCGACUGAAAAGAAGAGAAGAGAAAUCUGCAGAGCGUUGCCAUCAGUGUUGUUUUCGUCAGGCAGGACGAAAACUUAAAUGACGACGUCAGACCCCUUUUUUCCUUGACGAAAAUGAGACUAAGACGAACGUCACCAAAGCUCGUAAAGACUAAAAUGUGACGAAAAUUGUAUUGAUUUUCGUCAGACGAGAACGAGACGAGACUACAUUGUUAUUAGGUGGACGAACAAAGUUUCAAAACAUGAUUUUUUUUGUCCUAACAGUCACGCCCCCAUCACACACGCACCAAAAGCCUCGCUCGCUCACAGCUGCGCGCACACACUCAUACACAUACACAGAGCGGCAGGUGGACGAGGCGCGCACACACACACACACACACACACACACACACACCGUGGCGGCAGGCACAGCAGCGGUGCCCGGUGGCCGAAAAAAGAGGGAUGAUUUUUGGUCCUACUUCAGAUACAGUCCAAGUGACAAUAAAAUAAAAGUGACAAUAAAACACGGGACGGGGAGACGAGACAGACGACAGUUGAGGAGCCACAGCUUCCUCAUGCUGCGGCUUCAAACUGUCGGGAAAGAACACCACGAACCUCAAAAGGCACCUUUACGUCGACUAAAACUAGACUAAAACCUUUUGAGUUUUCGUCGGACUAAAACUAGACGAAAACUAUCAAGGAUAGAAAUGACUAAAAUGGGACUAAAACGAAGAAGCAUUUCGUCAAAAUGACUAAGACUAAAACUAAAUCUAAAAUGCCUGCCAAAAACAACACUGGUUGCCAUCUGAGGUGGCAACACUCUGUGAGAGGUCAGUGACUCUCUCUAGACCGGACAAGAGCUAAAAAGCCGGGUCAACAUAAACGAUGGGGGACGCUUGGGGAUCUUGGUGACCCUGUAACCUUUCUGCUGGACAGGUAAACCGCUUUAACAAAGUAAGACAAGUGUCUGUAACAGAAGUGUUUCUUUAUCCUCGUUGUACCUUUAAAACUUUAAAACAGGAAAAGACAAAUCAAGAACCCCGACAGGAACAGCCGAGCAGAAGAAGCCGUCAGCUCUUCUCCCUCAAACAUCUAAACCUUCAAUAUAAAGAGGUUAGAUCAGCGCGGUGUGACCCGUGUUUGAUGGGAGGAUGAGCCCUGCAGCUGCAGCCAUGAGACCAUAAAUGCUGAAAAUGAAAAAAGGAGCAGAGACACGAAGCUUCAGCUCUCAUCACUUCAGCUCGGAGCUUUUCUCAGAGCAUGCGUGAGGACUCCUCUCAUCACCAGCUGAAUGACUCUGUGAUAGGGAACAUGUGCUGGAGGCCUUUUCAUGCAUAUCGUCGAGAGCUUCUCCUAUCUGCAGGCAAACAGCCCUAUCAGCCACUCCCAGCAUCCUUUGCAGUUUCAGUCAUGCAGCCUGAGGAGAGCUGCCACGAAGAGUCGGGCCUCCUCUAUCUCAGCUCAGCACACAUCAUUAAAAUCCAGCUGUGGUCGAGCGAACGCACGAGGAGGAGGGGGAGGAAACAGGCGAUGAAGAAAGGAGGGUGACAGAGGAGCAUGUCAACAAACGGAGCUGAGAUGGAGCUGAGAUGGAGAUGAGAUGGUGUCGGAUGUUCAGAUCUGAUCAGAUGAGGAUCUGACAGACAGUGAGAGAGUAAUCAAGUGUUUGAAACGCCGUUUUCUGCUGUUAGUUUUAAAGAUCCUGAUCAUCUCGUCUGUCAGGGAAAAAAAAGGACGAGGAUGAAUAUUUAUCAGAGUUUAUAAAAAACCUGGUUCUGGUCUGACGGAGGAGCUGACGGAGGUUUCUCAGCUGUGCCUGUUGACACUGUGGAAAAAUACUUUAGUUCUGAUGUGGUAGAACUUCUCAGUCACGUUAAUUUAUGAAGUAAAACUGAAGAUCAACUUUGAGUCCAGUUUGGAUAAGAAGGGAACGUAAACUGAGUUAAAGUCCUGGUUGACGAUCACACACACACAAACCCCUCCCCUCUGUGCUCCACCAUAACUCCGCCCCCUGAACCUGUAUCCCCUCCCCACGACACGCCUCCUCUGGCAGAAGAUCCUACGCUAGCUUCACCAUGUCGGACAUGAACGAUAAAAGGAGAUAAAAAUGACCUGUUCAACUAAAACUCUGCUGUCUUGGCGUCUGUUUUCUCCACCACUCCAAGGAUGACCUGAUGGUGAUUCACGUUAGAUUUCUCGUUUGGUCACAUGUCCUCUCUGACUCCGCCCUUUCUUCUGUCAGUUUGCGUUUUCUUCCCACUUUUGGCGGUGCGGCGAGCAGUGUUUUUUUUUUUUUGCGUCCU